rnacentral:rRNA from 1 species
CCAGAGAACUACGAGCAAAACGCUUAAAACUCUAAGGACUUGGCGGUACCUCAAACCCCCCUAGAGGAGCCUGUUCUAUAAUCGAUAAUCCACGAUCCACCUCACCAUCUCUUGCCAAUCCCGCCUAUAUACCACCGUCACCAGCUUACCCCAUGAGGCAUUAAAGUAAGCAAAAUAACUAAAAGUUAACAAGUCAGGUCAAGGUGUAGCUUAUUGAGAUGGGAAGAAAUGGGCUACAUUUUCUAUACUAGAAAUAAAUUUACGGAAAGGAACUAUGAAAUAAGUCCCACAAGUAGGAUUUAGCAGUAAACCGGGAUCAUGAAUACCCGAUUUAA